GGAGAUCCUGGGCACAGGAAGAGGCUGUUUGGUGUGGGAACUUGAAGACUGGAAGGACAUUUCCUAGCCGAGCAGGGGACUUUCAGGAUUGAGAGCUAGAAGUUCCUAUAGACAUUUCUCUUUUGUUUUCCAAGCAAAUAGACCUCUGGGAUACUUGCUGUGUGGCUCUGGCAGCUUCAAACAUCGCACCUUCCUGUCAUCUCUCACACCACUGGGGCCUCAGUCACAGGCAGCUGCUGUCCUCCUGCCCACCUCCUUCCUUCCUCAGCCAAGAGGACCGCCGCAGAGCCAGAUGCAGAGACACACAGGUCACCUUUGGGCUCACAGUACUUGAGACCUGAGAUAGGGAAACUGAGGCGAGGAGUGAAAUUUUGUGGGAGAGCCCUUCCUGGAAGCCAGGCUUGUAACUGAGAACCUUCACAGCUUCUCUGGACACUCAUCUUCCCAGCAGAGCACUGGGCCCCAGGGCUGCACACCAGCUCCACUGAUGAUGAAAAGCUCACAGCCGAGUAUCCACUAAGCAAGGACAAGAUGGAAAGCCAGCCUGAAACAGCUGGCCACGGGGCCCCCUGUCCAUCCCUGACUCCUGGAAACAGCUCCACUCCAACCUCCCAGCUGAACAGAAAGAGCCUUAGCCCCCUCAGCAUUCUGCCCCAGCCCUCCUGUCCCCAUCUCCAAGGAGCUCCCAUUCCACUUCCUCCCCUUCUACCCCAGGUACCCACUUCUCCUGCCUCUGCCUUACCUGUUCUCCUAUGGGGCCCUACCUUCUGUCCAGUGUCCCCACCUCUUCAUACUGCCCCAAGACAUUACCUACCCCACCAUGGCUGCACCCAGCUUGCUGAUGACAGCCGAUGAGCCUGGGCACCACAGUGUUCCAGGGCAGACCCUGCUUUGCAACCCUGGGCCCUUCCAAGCCUCUGGCCAUGCCAUGCCCUCCCGGACCCAGGAUCCAUCCUUGGGAAUGGAGUGGGCUGGCAUGACAGCUCCAGGGAAGCGGGCCUCAAUGGGAUCCCGGGCAGGCACCUCGCCCUCCCCUACCCUCUGAAGAAAGAAAACGGCAAAAUCCUGUAUGAGUGCAACAUGUGCAGCAAGAGCUUUGGACAGUUCUCCAACCUUAAGGUCCACCUGCGCGUGCACAGUGGGGAGCGGCCGUUCCAGUGUGCCCUGUGCCAGAAGAGCUUCACCCAGUUCGCCCACCUUCAGAAGCACCACUUGGUGCACACUGGGGAGCGGCCCCACAAGUGCCGGACGUGCCAGAAGUGCUUCAGCAGUUCCAGCAACCUCAAGACUCACCUGUGCCUGCACGUCCAGUGCAGUGUCUGCCCAAAUCACUUCACCCAGCUUGUCCAUUGGAAGCUGCACCAACAGCUCCACACUCCACAACCCGGCGGCCUGGCUCACCCCCACCUGCCCCUGGGCUCUCUUCCCUGCCUUGCCCAAUGGCACCAGCGAGCAUUGGAUCUUGUUGCGGAGCCCUCAGAGAAACAGAUGGGUUGGGACAUGGACAGGGUCAAGGUGUCCUUGGUAUCCCAGGGAAAGCCAGGGCAGCCAGCCUGAGCCAACACUGCUCAGAGGAGAGGGCAAGGGCAGAGCAAUUAAAGGAUUUUCAAAAUGAUGAGUUGAGGCUUCCUGUGCUUCCACAGUGAAGGGGUCACCGUGUAAUUGCCAGACCUCACACUUUACCUGAGAGCAGGUCAGAGGAC
ensembl:lncRNA